GGCUGGUCCGAAGGGUAGUGAUUCUCACGUGAUUGUUCACAGUCAGUACAGAUAAACUCCUGUUCUAUUUCCCCCUCCUCACUACUGCACUUGACUAGCUUAAA
rnacentral:Y_RNA from 1 species